UGCCUUGGGUUUCACCACACC
rnacentral:siRNA from 1 species